UACAGAGGUCUCAAGCGUUGUUCGGAUUCAUUGGGCGUAAAGGGUGCGUAGGUGGCGCCAUAAGUCAGGUGUGAAAUCUCGGGCUUAACUCCGAAACUGCAUUUGAUACUGUGGUGCUUGAGGACUGGAGAGGAGACUGGAAUUCACGGUGUAGCAGUGAAAUGCGUAGAGAUCGUGAGGAAGACCAGUGGCGAAGGCGGUCUCUGGACAGUUCCUGACACUGAGGCACGAAGGCCAGGGAGCAAACAGG
rnacentral:rRNA from 1 species